rnacentral:rRNA from 1 species
GAGUUUGGGGGGCUGCUACCUGCAGUCGAACGAUGACGACAGGGCUUGCUCUGUCUGAUUAGUGGCGAACGGGUGAGUAACACGUGAGUAACCUGCCCCCCUCUUCGGGAUAACCUCGGGAAAUCGGGGCUAAUACCGGAUAUGACUUCGCACCGCAUGGUGUGUUGUGGAAAGUUUUUCGGUGGGGGAUGGACUCGCGGCCUAUCAGUUUGUUGGUGAGGUAAUGGCUCACCAAGGCGAUGACGGGUAGCCGGCCUGAGAGGGCGACCGGCCACACUGGGACUGAGACACGGCCCAGACUCCUACGGGAGGCAGCAGUGGGGAAUAUUGCACAAUGGGCGAAAGCCUGAUGCAGCGACGCCGCGUGGGGGAUGACGGCCUUCGGGUUGUAAACCUCUUUCAGUAGGGAAGAAGCGAGAGUGACGGUACCUGCAGAAGAAGCGCCGGCUAACUACGUGCCAGCAGCCGCGGUAAUACGUAGGGCGCAAGCGUUGUCCGGAAUUAUUGGGCGUAAAGAGCUUGUAGGUGGCUUGUCGCGUCUGCCGUGAAAACCCGAGGCUCAACCUCGGGCGUGCGGUGGGUACGGGCAGGCUAGAGUGUGGUAGGGGAGACUGGAACUCCUGGUGUAGCGGUGAUAUGCGCAGAUAUCAGGAAGAACACCGAUGGCGAAGGCAGGUCUCUGGGCCAUUACUGACACUGAGAAGCGAAAGCAUGGGGAGCGAACAGGAUUAGAUACCCUGGUAGUCCAUGCCGUAAACGUUGGGCACUAGGUGUGGGGAACAUUCCACGUUUUCCGCGCCGUAGCUAACGCAUUAAGUGCCCCGCCUGGGGAGUACGGCCGCAAGGCUAAAACUCAAAGGAAUUGACGGGGGCCCGCACAAGCGGCGGAGCAUGCGGAUUAAUUCGAUGCAACGCGAAGAACCUUACCAGGGCUUGACUUGCACCGGACGAA